rfam:Rattus norvegicus chromosome 1, whole genome shotgun sequence.
GGAUUUAGCUCAGUGGUAGAGUGCUUGCCUAGCAAGCACAAGGCCCUGGGUUCGGUCCCCAGCUCCA